UUCUUCAAAGUGGCUGCGAAAUG
rnacentral:miRNA from 2 species